rnacentral:lncRNA from 1 species
CAAGAUGCUCACUAAUCGAAUCAAAACCUAAAGUAUAAUACAUAGACACAUAGGUGAAAGUCAAUCCAGGAUUAAUUAACACAGAUGCCGGUCUAAAAUAAAUAGGGAUGAUACCUGUGAUCAUAGCCUGAAAAGCCUUUUCCUCAGGUCUUGCUGGCAAAGCAUAACACAGUCCAGACUACCAACCGGCUGAAUAGCCCUGCAAACACUACCAUGGGAUGCACUACCACUGC